GGGCUCGUGGUCCAGUGGUAUGACACUCUCGCAUCGGCCGGUAACACUCAGGUGACUCGUAAACCUCCAGGAGAUGGGAGGAAGCUCAGUGGGGCCCGGGGCUAACAACACCUUUGUGAGAGGAGACCGAAAUAGCAGAGAGAGACCUGAGUUCGAAUCUCAGCUAGCCCA